UACAGAGACCUCAAGCGUUAUCCGGAUUUAUUGGGCGUAAAGCGUCCGCAGAUGGUUUGGCGGGUGAGGAGUUAAAACCUAAGGCUUAACCUUAGGACUGCUUCUCAAACUACCAAACUCGAGGGUGGGAGAGGUAAGCGGAAUUCUCGGUGUAGUCGUAAUAAGCGCUGAUAUCGAGAAGAACACCAAAUGCGAAGGCAGCUUACUGGAACACUCCUGACAUUCAGGGACGAAAGCGUGGGGAGCAAACAGG
rnacentral:rRNA from 1 species